rnacentral:rRNA from 1 species
UACGGGGGGGGCAAGCGUUGUUCGGAAUUACUGGGCGUAAAGGGCUCGUAGGCGGCCAACUAAGUCAGACGUGAAAUCCCUCGGCUUAACCGGGGAACUGCGUCUGAUACUGGAUGGCUUGAGUUUGGGAGAGGGAUGCGGAAUUCCAGGUGUAGCGGUGAAAUGCGUAGAUAUCUGGAGGAACACCGGUGGCGAAGGCGACAGCCUGGACCAACACUGACGCUGAGGAGCGAAAGCCAGGGGAGCAAACAGG